CGUAAAAAAACACUCUCAUUUCUCUUCAAAAAUGGAUUCUCUCAGACAACAGUCACUGAUCCCUAGCUUCCUCUAUUCUUCUUCUUCCUCCGCUAAACCUUUCUCCCUCUCUAACCUCCUCCACUCCGAACAACCAUCGCUUUCUCCGUCUUCAUCGUCGUCAACGACCACAAUGGACAGCAAGAGCAGUGGCAGAUUUGUGGUCCCGGCACCGAGUGAGCCUGGGAAGAAGAUCGAGAUUUAACGAAUAAGGAUCCUAUCAUGGGCUGCUAUCAAUGCUGGGGAUCGGGUUAAUAGUUCCUUGAAAGACAGGGCAGUGGUGAUGAAGCAAUUGGAUGGAGGUGAUGAGGCGAUCAAAUCUUUUCGUCAUCUCUACCCCUAUGAUUCUCGGGAAUCUAUUGAGAAUGUGCUAGUUGAACUCUACAAGGGCUUCAGGGGAACAUGAAUCAUCUCGAAGGGUCAAAUCUGAACUUCUGGUUCAGGUAGAUGGUGUAAACAAUAGUCCCACUUGUGAAGAUGGCCAUCGGAAAAUAGUGAUGGUUUUGGCAGCUACAAACUUUUCUUGGGACAUAGAUGAGGCACUAAGAUUGGUUCGUUGUCUUCUGGAGGAGGUUGGAAAAGCAUAUUUAUAUUCCAUUUCCAAAUUUUGAGAUUCGUAAAGAGCUUAUUAGGAUCAAUUUGAAAACUAUUGAGGAGGAGGUUGGAAAAUCAUAUUUAUAUUCCAUUUCCAAAUUUUGAGAGUCGUAAAGAGCUUAUUAGGAUCAAUUUGAAAACUAUUGAGAUCUUGGAUCAAAUCAAAUCAUUCUUUGAGUUGUUAUUGUUAGGCCCCACUUCGCCUUGUCACCUAGAGGUGGCCACUGACGUAGAUAUUGAUGAAGUUGCUUGCAGGACGGAGGGAUACAGUGAAGAUGCUCUAACUAAUGUUUGCAGAGAUGCUUCUUUGAAUGGCAUGAGGUGAAAGAUAACAAGCAAGGCACGAGAUGAGAUUAAGAACAUGCCUAAGGAUGAGAUUUCAAAUGAUCCUGUUGCAAUGUGUGAUUUUGAAGAAGCCUUGUGGAAGGUUCAGCGCAGUCUUUCCCAAGCAGAUAUGGAGAAGCAUGGGGAGUGGUUCCCGGAAUUUGAAUCAGCCCAAGGGAGAUGAGACCCAUCUUAUGAUGAAGACUACUGCUGAUUGGUAUUUUCUUUGCAUGUUUUUCACCAAGAACCUGGCUUUUUUAUUGUAGCUUACACAUACGAUUUCAUUCAUGGCUGAGAAUCUAACCAUGGUGAUCCAUAUGUUGAAUUGCGUGUUUGGAUAUUGUCAGCAUGCUUGUAGCAAAAGUUGGGUGAGUAAGAACUGUUUGCCAAAAUGAUAUCCAAUCCCUUCUUUCUUUC